GACUUCCGGUACUAUGUUGAAGAGGGGUGGUGAGAGUGACAGACCAAUAACAAGCAGCAAGGUUGAAAUGGUAAUUUAAAAAUUAUCAACAAGAAAAAGUCCAGGACCAGAUGGAUUCACAGCAGAAUUCUACUAGACAUUCAAAGAAGAAUUAGUACGCAUCCUUUUGACACUAUUCCACAAGGAAUCCACCAGGAAAACAAAGCACUCUGGUACUUCAACGGAGAAUUUAGAUAAAUACGUGGUUAAAUGAACAUUGAAGAAGGAAAGCAGCAACAAAGAAGCUCUCAGACGAACAGACAGGACAGAGUCAGGAAAGAACAGAGUGCUCUUAUAAUGGUGCUCUAAAGCUGCUUUGAAUUUCCAAACCACUUUAAUUGCACUUUGAGUAUCUAAGCAAACCUGAUCUCCAGAUACAGACAGAGCUUUCCAGUUCUUCCAGCCACCGUGUGAAGAAGGAUGUGUUUGCUUCCACUUCUGCCAUGAUUGUAAGUUUCCUGAGGCCUCCUCAGCCAUGCUGAACUGUGAGUCAACUAAACCCUGUUUUAAAAAUAAAUUGCCCAGUCUCAGGUAUGUCUUUAUUAGCAGCAUGAGAACAGACUAAUACAACAUGUGUCCAUCAAUAAAUGAAAGUAUAAAAAAAGUAUUAUACAUAUAUAAUGGAAUACUAUUCAGCCAUUAGAAAACUAUGAAAUCAUGUAUUUUACAACAAGAUGGAUGAAACUAGAGGUCAUUAUCUUAAGUGAAACAAGCCAGGCACAGAAAGACAAAUAUUGCAUGUUCUCACUCAUAAAUGUGUGAAGAUUAUGGGAGUCAGGCAGCAGGUCGGGAUAGCCACUGAGCUGACCAGUGACUCAUGUGGCUGUAAUCACUAGGACAACAGCCUUGUAUCUGGCUGAAAGGCUGGUGAAGCCACUGAGGAGUGGAUGACAGACGUAUUGGCUGCUACAACUGCAGCAGCGGUGGGGGGCUCAAAGAUGGCAAAUGUGAUCUACUUUUGAAUUUUUAACACACACUAAAUUAUAAAUUUUUCUAAAGCAAUCUACAAUUAUUCAGCAUUUUCACCUUUCUAGUCAAGUCAAGAGCUUUACCAUGAUUUAAUUAUUCAUUGGUAUUAUUUACAUCAACCUGUUAUGGCUGCUAAGAGCUCUUACUAUUUCAUAUAAAAAGCUAUUUUGUUUACAUUCAACAAUUACAUUUACUAUUAUUCUUUAUCAAUUCAUAUGCUUCGCAUGUAUCCUAUACACUUUUAUUCUGUUUUCAUCUUUUUUUCUAUCCAAUAUAUUUAUUAAUAAUUCUGUUGAAGACCUAAGGGAGGUAAUUUUCCUUAGACUUUGUUUGAAAACAUUUUCAUUUUUCUCUUUUUCUUGAAUUAUAGUUUAACUGUGUGUGAAAUUGUAGAGUAACAGUUUUCCUAAUCCUUUUGAAUAUUCUCUUUUGGCAUCUGUUUUGCUGAGGGGAAGUCCACUAUUAUUUGUUAUUCUUUUGUAGCUAUUAUUUUAUUCUCUGAAGGUUUUAUUAUUUUAUUUUCCUCCUUAAUGUUCUGUGCUUUCAUUAUGAUAUGUCUAGAUAUGAAUUUAUUUUUAUUCAUGUGGCUUGAUAUUCAGAGUAUCUUUUGUUCUGAGAAUUCAUGUGUUUAGCCAUCAGGAAAAAAAUUUCAGCAAUAAUGUCCUAUCCUAUUUUCAUCAUUAUUUUUAUAUCCUUAUAAGAUAAAUAGAUAUUAUAUCUGAGUCUAGAUUCUAUGUGCUUUUUAUUCCAUUUUCUUAAAAAAUAGUCUCUGUUGCAUUUUGGGAAAAUUAUGCAUUCCAUGUUCUAUUUCACAUUUUUUCCCCUAAUGUACUCCAUCUAGAAUUUAUCCUGUUAGUUGAAUUUUUUUCAUAUUUAAGAAGAGUUGGCCGGGCGCGGUGGCUCACGCCUGUAAUCCCAGCACUUUGGGAGGCCGAGGUGGGUGGAUCACGAGGUCAGCAGAUCGAGACCAUCCUGGCUAACACAGUGAAACCCCGUCUCUACUAAAAAUGCAAAAAAUUAGCCGGGCAUGGUGGCAGACACCUGUAGUCCCAGCUACUCGGGAGGCUGAGGCAGGAGAAUGGCAUGAAACCAGGAGGCGGAGCUUGCAGUGAGCCGAGAUUGUGCCACUGCACUCCAGCCUGGGCGACAGAGGGAGACUCUGUCUC